UGCAACUUUGACAAGAUCUACAGCCUGACUCU
rnacentral:piRNA from 1 species